GACGAACGCUGGCGGCGUGCUUAACACAUGCAAGUCGAACGGGCCCGCCCCUGUUUUUGGGGGUGGGUUGAGUGGCGAACGGGUGAGUAUCCCGUGAGUAACCUGCCCCCUGCUCCUGGAUAACUGCUUGAAAGGGCGGCUAAUACGGGGUGUGCCGGCUGGUCCGCAUGGGCCUGGUCGGGAUAGUUUCAUCUUCGGGUGUUUCGGUGGGGGAUGGGCUCGCGGCCUAUCAGCUUGUUGGUGGGGUGAUGGCCCACCAAGGCGGUGACGGGUAGCCGGCCUGAGAGGGUGGGCGGCCACGCGGGGACUGAGACACGGCCCAGACUCCGGCGGGAGGCAGCAGUGGGGGGUAUUGCACAAUGGGCGGAAGCCUGAUGCAGCGACGUCGCGUGAGGGAUGGAGGCCUUCGGGUGGGGAACCUCUUUCUCCGGUGGUGAAGGCCCUGUCCGUUGCGGCGGGGUUGACGGUAGCCGGGUAUGAAGCGCCGGCUAACUACGUG
rnacentral:rRNA from 1 species